UGGAAUUUACCUUUCUUACUCGGACUUUCACGCAUAUCUGCUGGCGGAUUCAUCUUGUGUAAAGGAGUUAAAUCAGUGGUUUACCAAGCAUCUAGAUACAGGUCCCUACAGAUUAGUUGCAGAGGAGGGAAAGUCAAAAUGUUCAUGGGUUAGCCUUAAUGACAUAUCAAACGUUUUACUACGAGAUCUGGAAAAGUCUCACCACCAGCGUGUUUCUGAAUUGCAACGCCUUCGUUCCAUAUUUGGUCCAAGUGAGAGG
rnacentral:misc_RNA from 1 species